rnacentral:rRNA from 1 species
AUUGAACGCUGGCGGCAGGCCUAACACAUGCAAGUCGAGCGGCUGAAGAGAACGUGCUCGUGGAUUCAGGGGCGGACGGGCGAGUGAUGCCUAGGAAUCUGCCUGGUAGUGGGGGAUAACGUGCGGAAACGGGCACUAAUACGGCAUAAGUGCAGAGGGAGAAAGUGGGAGAUCUUCGGAUCUCACGCUAUCACGUGAGCCGAGGUCGGAUUAGCUAGUUGGUGGGGUAAAGGCCCACCAAGGCGACGAUCCGUAGCUGGUCUGAGAGGAUGAUCAGCCACACUGGAACUGAGACACGGUCCAGACUCCUACGGGAGGCAGCAGUGGGGAAUAUUGGACAAAGGGCGAAAGCCUGAUCCAGCCAUGCCGCGUGUGUGAAGAAGGUCUUCGGAUUGUAAAGCACUUUUGUUUGGGAGGAAGAGCAGUAAGUUAAUACCUUGCUGUUUUGACGGUACCAACAGAAUAAGCACCGGCUAACUUCGUG